rnacentral:tRNA from 1 species
GCCCCCGUAGCUCAAUUGGUAGAGCAACGGCCUUUUAAGCCGGUGGUUGCAGGUUCGAAUCCUGCCGGGGGCA